rnacentral:lncRNA from 1 species
UGUGGUCUGCCCGCCUCGGCCCCCCAAAGUGCUGGGAUUACAGGCGUGAGCCACCGCACCCAGCCAAUCUAACCAUUUUCAAGAUUUGAUCUGCAAAUACCUGAAGUGGGUUGGGGGAGAAGGAGCCAAUUCAAUGUCUAGUCUUUACUGGAAAGAAGAAACUUUACAGCGCAUUUUGAGCAAUUUAGUGCAGAGUCUCAGUGGGUCAACUGGCGGGGCACCAGAUAGUAAUGGAUUUCACAGUUAGGGCAUUGCUGGGUCUCACCUUUGUGCAGCCAAAAACUAGAGGACAGCACUGUUGUACUCUUCACAGAUGCAGCCCACUAUUCACUUGUUGGUGAUGGAGGAGACUAAAUUAGGGUCUUCUUUGGUGCCAGAAGCUUCCUUUUGGAGUAGUGUAUUCUAUGGGUCCAGUCCCUUUCAUGCAGCCAUUAUGACCUACAUCUCCAGUCCAGACACAUCACCAUCAGUAGGAACACCACCUUCAGAUGCCAUGGAGCACAUCAAGGCCACCCACUGGAACCAUGGGCCCUCAGAGUCUGCAAGGGCAGCACUCCAACUCUGUGGCAUAACCUCAAAGCCAUAUGCUCACGACAAGCAGCAGCACUUCUGGGAACAGGCUUCAGAGACAACUUGAGUUCUUCCUUAAUUUCUCUCAGUAAGAUUUAUAGUUUUCUAUGUACAGGUUGUGUACUUUUUCUUUGUGUGAACUUAUUCCUAUUUGAAACUUCAGAUGCUGUGGAAAUUGUAUGUUUUUAAAAAAGUUUUCUAACUGUUUAUUGUUGGUAUGUAGAAAUAUAUCUGAUUUGCAUACUGGUCCUUUAUCCAGCAACCUUCUUAAAUUCACUUUUUAAUUCUAAUAAUUUAUCUGUAGAUUCUUUUGGAUUUUCUA